rnacentral:rRNA from 1 species
GACGGAGGAUGCAAGCGUUAUCCGGAAUGAUUGGGCGUAAAGCGUCUGCAGGUGGCAGUUCAAGUCUGCUGUCAAAGACCGGGGCUUAACUUCGGAAAGGCAGUGGAAACUGAACAGCUAGAGUAUGGUAGGGGCAGAGGGAAUUCCUGGUGUAGCGGUGAAAUGCGCAGAUAUCAGGAGGAACACCGAUGGCGAAGGCAGCUCGCUGGGACGGUACUGACGCUGAGGCGCGAAAGCGUGGGGAGCGAACAGG